rnacentral:rRNA from 1 species
GAGGUUAAGCGACUAAGCGUACACGGUGGAUGCCCUGGCAGUCAGAGGCGAUGAAGGACGUGCUAAUCUGCGAUAAGCGUCGGUGAGGUGAUAUGAACCGUUAUAACCGGCGAUUUCCGAAUGGGGAAACCCAGUGUGUUUCGACACACUAUCAUUAACUGAAUCCAUAGGUUAAUGAGGCGAACCGGGGGAACUGAAACAUCUAAGUACCCCGAGGAAAAGAAAUCAACCGAGAUUCCCCCAGUAGCGGCGAGCGAACGGGGAGGAGCCCAGAGCCUGAAUCAGUGUGUGUGUUAGUGGAAGCGUCUGGAAAGGCGUGCGAUACAGGGUGACAGCCCCGUACACAAAAAUGCACAUAUUGUGAGCUCGAUGAGUAGGGCGGGACACGUGGUAUCCUGUCUGAAUAUGGGGGGACCAUCCUCCAAGGCUAAAUACUCCUGACUGACCGAUAGUGAACCAGUACCGUGAGGGAAAGGCGAAAAGAACCCCGGCGAGGGGAGUGAAAAAGAACCUGAAACCGUGUACGUACAAGCAGUGGGAGCCUCUUAAUGGGGUGACUGCGUACCUUUUGUAUAAUGGGUCAGCGACUUAUAUUCUGUAGCAAGGUUAACCGAAUAGGGGAGCCGAAGGGAAACCGAGUCUUAACUGGGCGUUAAGUUGCAGGGUAUAGACCCGAAACCCGGUGAUCUAGCCAUGGGCAGGUUGAAGGUUGGGUAACACUAACUGGAGGACCGAACCGACUAAUGUUGAAAAAUUAGCGGAUGACUUGUGGCUGGGGGUGAAAGGCCAAUCAAACCGGGAGAUAGCUGGUUCUCCCCGAAAGCUAUUUAGGUAGCGCCUCGUGAAUUCAUCUCCGGGGGUAGAGCACUGUUUCGGCAAGGGGGUCAUCCCGACUUACCAACCCGAUGCAAACUGCGA